CAACUUGUAGCUUAACUAAAGCAUCUUACUUACACUAAGAAAAUAUCUGUUAAAUUCAGGUCAACUUGA
rnacentral:tRNA from 1 species